rnacentral:misc_RNA from 1 species
GAUGAAGAACGUAGUGAAAUGCGAUAAGUAAUGUGAAUCGCAGAAUUCAGUGAAUCAUCGAAUCUUUGAACGCAUCUUGCGCUCCUUGGUAUUCUGAGGAGCAUGCCUGUUUGAGUGUCAUUAAAUUCUCAACUACACUGACUUUGAAUUGGUGUGGCUUGGAUUUGGGGGGAAAAUUGUUGUGGGCUUUUUGUAUAGUCUGCUCCCCUGAAAUUGAUUAGCGGUACCUUUGUGGAACUGUCUACAGGUGUGAUAAUUAUCUACAUCUUAGACAUCUGCUGGAAUGCUGCUUUCUAAACCUUACUUGUAUUGACAAUCUUGACCUCAAAUCAGGUAGGACUACCCGCUGAACUUAAGCAUAUCAAUAGCGGAGGA